rnacentral:rRNA from 1 species
CUGACACUAAAGGACAAAAAGACCCUUUGAAGCUUUAUAGGGAUAAAACUCAUUUACUCUAUUCAUUUUCAGCCUUCGGCAUUUAUUAUCUUGUUGCUUCUCCGCUUUUAAAAUGAUGUUGUUGUUAACAACAACAUAUUUAAUUGCUAAAGCCUUACAAGAUUUACAACAUCAAGACC